GCUUGGUUUAGACUCCCUGGAUGUCACAGCAGCAGCCUCAAGCGCGCCGAUCUCGGCGUUUUUCGCAUCGGGGUGUGCUGCAAGUGGGAGUGAGUGAAGACCUUUUCCAGAUUGCUGGUGGUGGAGGUGCGGGCCCAUCGCCCUGUACUCAGAAAAGCAAGUCCUGGGAAGUCCUUUGCGCCGGCCAGAAAACAUCUUUGUUCACACCCUCUUGCAGCACGCCACGAUGCGAAAAACACCAAGAUUUGCAUGCUUGGGGCUGCUGCUGCGACGUCCAGGGAGGCUAAACCAAGCCACGCACCUCUCCCAGCCGCUUUCGCAGCUUCCCAGAGUGCCAAGAACCUUCAAGCUCUUCUCCGUGCUCUCCUCGCGACUGCAAUAGACGUCCAGAAGCGGCGGGUGCAGCCGGACUGGAGAACUUUCUCUUCUCAGAAAUGUCUUCUCAGUGGAGCUGUGGCAGCCUGCCUGUCCCUUUCAGGUAAUGCCCAGCGGUGGUGUCAUCGUCGAGGACGCUGCUUUAGCCAUCACUGUUUACAAAACUUUGAAAACCUUGGCAAAAUUGACUGUAGACAGAGUCAUGUAUGUUGUCGACCGCGCAAUGGAAAAUAAUGCCAUCUCCAUCGAGCAUCCAGGAUGUCUUCAAGAUAUGGCCAAUGACCUGAGAUUACUGCCUGCUAUCAUUUUAUCUUUCUUUACAUGAAUCAAAUUGCUAUCUAUCAAAUUCUAAAAUAUUUAUGCAUUGAAGUAAAAUUUAGCAAAUAUUUCUUGAAAUAAAGCUAGAUGAACAUUGCA